CUCCCAACCCCUGUGACAUACCAAUUGUUGCCUCGGCGGAUCAGCCCGCUCCCGGUAAAACGGAACGGCCCGCCAGAGGACCCCUAAACUCUGUUUCUAUAUGUAACUUCUGAGUAAAACCAUAAAUAAAUCAAAACUUUCAACAACGGAUCUCUUGGUUCUGGCAUCGAUGAAGAACGCAGCAAAAUGCGAUAAGUAAUGUGAAUUGCAGAAUUCAGUGAAUCAUCGAAUCUUUGAACGCACAUUGCGCCCGCCAGUAUUCUGGCGGGCAUGCCUGUUCGAGCGUCAUUUCAACCCUCAAGCCCCCGGGUUUGGUGUUGGGGAUCGGCGAGCCUCACGGCAAGCCGGCCCCGAAAUACAGUGGCGGUCUCGCUGCAGCUUCCAUUGCGUAGUAGUAAAACCCUCGCAACUGGUACGCGGCGCGGCCAAGCCGUUAAACCCCCAACUUCUGAAUGUUGACCUCGGAUCAGGUAGGAAUACCCGCUGAACUUAAGCAUAUCAAUAGGCCGGGAGGAA
rnacentral:rRNA from 1 species